AUGAAAGAUCAAUUUUCCGGCCUUCCCAAUGAAGAUGUCGCAUCCCAUCUUAAUAAUUUUGUUGAUUUUUGUUAUAUGCAAAAGAAAAAAGAUAUGGAUAAUGAUAUUGUUAAAUUGAAGCUAUUUCCGUUCUCGCUUCGAGAUCGUGCUAAAACUCGGUUUUCAUCUUUGCCUAAAAACAGUAUUGAUUCAUGGAAUAAGUGUAAAGAUGCUUUUAUUUCCAUGUAUUUUCCUCCUGCUAAAAUCAUCUCCCUUAGGAACGAUAUUAUGAAUUUUAAGCAACUUGAUCAUGAACAUGCACUACUGCAGGAUGCUGCUAACGUGACACUACGAUCAAAGACCCUUCGACGAAACUGUGUGCGAUGCCAUAACCGCAAACGGUGGUGUAAAAAACCAUCAAAAAAGGUGCAAAAUGUUUGCGAUGGAGGAUGCAUCAAACACCGUGCAGAUUUUAGUAGCGUGUGCGAUGCAGGGCAUACGGUUCAGCUCAAUUAA
rnacentral:rRNA from 1 species